CCAGCCAUAUCAUGUUGAAACACCGGUUCUCGUAUGAUCACUGAAGUUAAGCAACGUCGAGCCUGAUUGAUACCUAGAUGGCUGACUGCUAGAGAAUACCGUGUGCUGUAAG